GAUGAACGCUGGCGGCGUGCCUAAUACAUGCAAGUCGAGCGAACAGACGAGGAGCUUGCUCCUCUGACGUUAGCGGCGGACGGGUGAGUAACACGUGGAUAACCUACCUAUAAGACUGGGAUAACUUCGGGAAACCGGAGCUAAUACCGGAUAAUAUAUUGAACCGCGUGGUUCAAUAGUGAAAGACGGUUUUGCUGUCACUUAUAGAUGGAUCCGCGCCGCAUUAGCUAGUUGGUAAGGUAACGGCUUACCAAGGCGACGAUGCGUAGCCGACCUGAGAGGGGGAUCGGCCACACUGGAACUGAGACACGGUCCAGACUCCUACGGGAGGCAGCAGUAGGGAAUCUUCCGCAAUGGGCGAAAGCCUGACGGAGCAACGCCGCGUGAGUGAUGAAGGUCUUCGGAUCGUAAAACUCUGUUAUUAGGGAAGAACAAAUGUGUAAGUAACUAUGCACGUCUUGACGGUACCUAAUCAGAAAGCCACGGCUAACUACGUG
rnacentral:rRNA from 1 species